rnacentral:lncRNA from 1 species
AAUUUCGAAUAUUCAAAAACUAUGUAGACUUUCAAUCUGUUUUGAUUAGCCACUUGACUGAACUCAACUCUUUAUUGAUUACUUAUUUGAUUUGGGUUACUAAUUCAAUUUUCAUGAAAUUUUAUGUGCCAAUUCAAUAAUCAUUUAUUUACUAUAUACUAAAGUAGAACCCUUUGUGUAAAGCUGCCACGUGACUUUUUAUAUACUUGUCACGUGUCAAACUCAAAUAUAGAAUAACAAUUUUAUUUGGAAAUACUAUUAAAUCAAAUUAAAUCAAAUUAAAUCAAAUUAUACCAAUUAAAUAUAAUUAUAUAUAAAAUUAGGAAACACUAGUAAAUCAAAUUAAAUCAAAUUAUACCAAUUAAAUAUAAUUAUAUAUACAAUUAAUAAGAAUUUUAUUAGGAAACACUAUUAAAUCAAAUUAUACCAAUUAAAUAUAAUUAUAUAUACAAUUAACAAGAAUUUUAUUAGGAAACACUAUUAUAUCAAAUUAAAUCAAAUUAUGAUUUUAUUAGUUUUAUUAGAAAACACUAUUAAAUCAAAUUAAAUCAAAUUAUACCAAUUAACAAAUUAUACCAAUUAAAUAUAAUUAUAUAUACAAUUAACAAAAAUUUUAUUAGGAAACAUUAUUAAACACUAUUAUUAUAAUUAUACUCAAAUAUAUAAUAACAAUUUUAUUAGGAAACACUAUUAAAUUAAAUUAAAUCAAAUUAUACCAAUUAAAUAUAAUCUAUUUCAUAUUAUAUAUUAAAGUAGAAUCAUUGGUGUAAAACUGACACGUGUCUUUCUAUAUACUUGCCACGUGUCAAACUCAAAUAUAGAAUAGCCAUUUAGUAAAUAGAUUAGGAAACACUAUUAAAUCAAAUUAAAUCAAAUUAUACUAAUUAAAUAUAAUUAUAUAUACAAUUAACUAGAAUUUUAUUAGGAAACACUAAUAAACACCAUUAAAUCAAAUUAUAAUUAAAAUUAAAUCAAAUUAUAAAUAGGUAAGCAGUUUAUUUUUCUUCAUGCUAUUUCAAAAAUUAUAAUUUUUCAACAAUUUAACUCUGUCAUUUUAUUUUUUAAAUAAAUUUAAACCAUUUUCUAAAAAAUUUCACUAAUAUUAUGAUAUUUAUCAUUUUACUUAUCUAACAAUUUUUUUAUAUGGAGUAGGUACUUUCUAUCUUCAUGCAACAAAGUUAUUUUUUUUCCUUCAUAUUUUCUUGAAGACCAACAUUUAUAUAUAUUUGAAUCUUAGAAGUUGGUAUGUUUCUCAUAUACAUGUGCUAACUCUAAUUUGUGUCAAAUAUGAAAGUUUAGUUGAUCUCAUUAUAUGCUUAAAUAUUAAUGUCAUUUGUAAUUUUUCAUAUCAAUUUGAGUUAUUUUUUUGUUUUGCACACCAAUUCAUAGAUAAUAGAGCAUAAUUGAAUUUUGCUCUUUACCUGAGUAUUUAGUUUGGUCCAUAAUUUUGUUUUUUUAGCUUUUGUACUUUAAUAUGUACUAUAAUUAAGAUUGAUAGUAUAUUUCUUUGUUUGUUAAAAAAAUAUAAUAUUAAUUAUAAUGUUUUCUUUUAUCAUUACAUAAUAACUUUUGUUAUUUUAUAUUAUUAUAUUAGCCGUGCAUCGCACGGGUCAAAUACUACUUUUUAAAUUAAAACAUCU